rnacentral:misc_RNA from 1 species
AUUGCUGUGGCCCUGCAUCAUUUUAUUUUUUUGGAUAGCAAAUUGCAAAAACUGAUCAACAGUUGAAUGUGGAAUCCAGCUUUUGUAAUACUUGAUCAAUUUAAUAUGUAAUAGGAUGCAAAUGAUAAAAAAAUUGUCAAAUGCUAGAUUCGAUAAGACUCAAACACCUCAGAAGUCACCAAUUCAUUUGUUAUGUACUCAAAUGAAUAGCAUUCAUCAGACUUUUACCUGGACAUCGAGGCUGAAGAGAU